rnacentral:rRNA from 1 species
UGGGGAAUUUUGGACAAUGGGCGAAAGCCUGAUCCAGCAAUGCCGCGUGCAGGAUGAAGGCCUUCGGGUUGUAAACUGCUUUUGUACGGAACGAAAAAGCUUCUCCUAAUACGAGAGGCCCAUGACGGUACCGUAAGAAUAAGCACCGGCUAACUACGUGCCAGCAGCCGCGGUAAUACGUAGGGUGCGAGCGUUAAUCGGAAUUACUGGGCGUAAAGCGUGCGCAGGCGGUUAUGUAAGACAGAUGUGAAAUCCCCGGGCUCAACCUGGGAACUGCAUUUGUGACUGCAUGGCUAGAGUACGGUAGAGGGGGAUGGAAUUCCGCGUGUAGCAGUGAAAUGCGUAGAUAUGCGGAGGAACACCGAUGGCGAAGGCAAUCCCCUGGACCUGUACUGACGCUCAUGCACGAAAGCGUGGGGAGCAAACAGGAUUAGAUACCCUGGUAGUCCACGCCCUAAACGAUGUCAACUGGUUGUUGGGAAUUAGUUUUCUCAGUAACGAAGCUAACGCGUGAAGUUGACCGCCUGGGGAGU